rnacentral:rRNA from 1 species
UACGUAGGUGGCAAGCGUUAUCCGGAAUCAUUGGGCGUAAAGCGCACGUAGGCGGUUUGUUAUGUCGGAUGUGAAAGCCCUUGGCUCAACUGAGGAAGUGCAUCCGAAACUGGCAAGCUAGAGUACUAAAGAGGGUCGCGGAAUUCCCGGUGUAGAGGUGAAAUUCGUAGAUAUCGGGAGGAACACCGGUGGCGAAGGCGGCGACCUGGGUAGAUACUGACGCUGAGGUGCGAAAGCGUGGGGAGCAAACAGG